rnacentral:lncRNA from 1 species
GUAGUAGAUCAUGAUACAUGCAGAAGAUCAAUUACCCAUUAUUAUAAACACAUCUUCUGCUAGUCUAAUAACGCGAAGUAACAGGAAUACCACACAAAUAACUUGAUAUACUAAACAUAAAUCUUACCUUAAGUGCCCUCCCUGAACUGAUAGUAUGUUUUAUGUUGCGUUUAUAAGUCUGCUUAUUAAAUUCACUUAGGGGGAGUGCGUUUACAAAAAAAAAACUUACAAAAUACAAC